UACGGAGGGGGCUAGCGUUGUUCGGAAUUACUGGGCGUAAAGCGCACGUAGGCGGCUUGUAAGUUAGAGGUGAAAGCCCGGGGCUCAACCCGGAAUUGCCUUAAGACUGCAUCGCUUGAAUCCAGGAGAGGUGAGUGGAAUUCCGAGUGUAGAGGUGAAAUUCGUAGAUAUUCGGGAAGAACACCAGUGGCGAAGGCGGC
rnacentral:rRNA from 1 species